GAGAAAAAUAUAAUUUCAAUCAGAUACACACUCAGACAUGCACUUACAAACAUGUACACACACGUUCUAAUACAUGCAUACAUAUUCAACAUUAGGCACACGCGUAUUCUUAAUUGUUCACCUACAGACACACAUAUUCAACAAACAUAUUCUAUGUUGUAACAUCGAGAGUAAACGGAAAUAUCUCAGGACAGAAAGGGUUCAUUUUACUGCCAGAUAUAUAGUAGAACAGAAUCUUGUUGAAGAGAUUUUCCCUACGUGGUGAAUAGUAGUGAAAAAAUGUAUAAGAAAAUAAGGAAAAUGCAUACUAUUUGUAUAUUUUUUAAAUAUAAUCUAAAGGAUAGAAUAUUAUGAUAUUCUAUCGGUUUCGCAUUUCGCAAAUCAUGACGUUGACAUUGGUGAAAAUAUAGCAAUUGCGUAUUUUCUUCAGGAGCUUUUAGUCCAGGCUGCUCUUAUGUAUGUAUGUUUGUAUAUGAACCAGCAUGUAGAAAAAUCUAAGAGGCGAAAACUGGAGAGUGUAUUUAUUCGAGACAGGAGAGGGAAUUGCCUCCAUAUAUAUAUGUGUGUGUGUGUAUCUUUCCCUACUAUCACUUGAGAACCGGUAUUGCUGUUUUCCUCUUGGUAAAUUAGCUGUUUGGCGAAAAAAAAAGAGGGCCUAUGUGCUAAUUAAUACGGCUAAAAAAAUAAUUUCGAGUUUAGAAGGAUACAGCUGUGCUUUUGUUGUAUCGCAUACAAGAAUAAAGCAACUUCAUCCAAUCAAAACUUCCGAAAUACAGGACACUAUGAACAAUCUAAAAAUAACGAUGUUUCGAUAAAUCGCGCAAUACGUGAACAGACGACAUCAAACAGCAGACGACAUCAGUCAAACUGCGUAGCAAUUUUCUCUGGUUGCUAAAC